AACGAACGCUGGCGGCAUGCCUAACACAUGCAAGUCGAACGAUCCCUUCAGGUAUAUUGGCGCAGGGGUACGUAACGCGUGGGAACCUGCCCUUAGGGUCGGUAUCGCUCAGGUAAAUUGGAGCUAAUAGCGGAUUAUGUCUUAGAACCAAAGAUUUAUAGCUAUUGGAUGGGCCCGCGUCCGAUUAGCUAGUUGGUGAGGUAAAGGCAUACCAAGGCGACGAUCCAUAGCUGGGCUGAGAGGAUGAUCAGCCACACUGGGACUGAGACACGGCCCAGACUCCUACGGGAGGCAGCAGUGGGGAAUAUUGCACAAUGGGGGAAAGCCUGAUGCAGCAAUGCCGCGUGAAGGAUGAAGGACUUAGGGAUGUAAAGUUCUAUUACCCGGGAAGAUAGUGACGGUACCGGGAGAAGAAGCCCCGGCUAACUACGUG
rnacentral:rRNA from 1 species